rnacentral:rRNA from 1 species
AUGAACGCUGGCGGCGUGCCUAAUACCUGCAAGUCGAGCGAACGGACGAGAAGCUUGCUUCUCUGAUGUUAGCGGCGGACGGGUGAGCAACCCGUGGAUAACCUACCUAUAAGACUGGGAUAACUUCGGGAAACCGUAGCUAAUACCGGAUAAUAUUUUGAACCGCAUGGUUCAAAAGUGAAAGACGGUCUUGCUGUCACUUAUAGAUGGAUCCGCGCUGCAUUAGCUAGUUGGUAAGGUAACGGCUUACCAAGGCAACGAUGCAUAGCCGACCUGAGAGGGUGAUCGGCCACACUGGAACUGAGACACGGUCCAGACUCCUACGGGAGGCAGCAGUAGGGAAUCUUCCGCAAUGGGCGAAAGCCUGACGGAGCAACGCCGCGUGAGUGAUGAAGGUCUUCGGAUCGUAAAACUCUGUUAUUAGGGAAGAACAUAUGUGUAAGUAACUGUGCACAUCUUGACGGUACCUAAUCAGAAAGCCACGGCUAACUACGUG